rnacentral:rRNA from 1 species
AGUGAACGCUGGCGGUAGGCCUAACACAUGCAAGUCGAACGGCAGCACAGUAAGAGCUUGCUCUUACGGGUGGCGAGUGGCGGACGGGUGAGGAAUACAUCGGAAUCUACUUUUUCGUGGGGGAUAACGUAGGGAAACUUACGCUAAUACCGCAUACGACCUACGGGUGAAAGCAGGGGAUCUUCGGACCUUGCGCGAUUGCAUGAGCCGAUGUCGGAUUAGCUAGUUGGCGGGGUAAAGGGCCACCAAGGCGACGAUCCGUAGCUGGUCUGAGAGGAUGGUCAGCCACACUGGAACUGAGACACGGUCCAGACUCCUACGGGAGGCAGCAGUGGGGAAUAUUGGACUAUGGGCGCAAGCCUGAUCCAGCCAUACCGCGUGGGUGAAGAAGGCCUUCGGGUUGUAAAGCCCUUUUGUUGGGAAAGAAAAGCAGCAGGUUAAUACCCCGCUGUUCUGACGGUACCCUAAGAAUAAGCACCGGCUAACUUCGUG